rnacentral:rRNA from 1 species
GACGAAGGGGGCUAGCGUUGUUCGGAAUUACUGGGCGUAAAGCGCGUGUAGGCGGUUGCCCAAGUCGGGUGUGAAAGCCUUGAGCUCAACUCAAGAAAUGCACUCGAUACUGGGUGACUAGAGGACCGGAGAGGAUAGUGGAAUUCCCAGUAUAGUGGUGAAAUACGUAGAGAUUGGGAAGAACACCAGUGGCGAAGGCGGCUAUCUGGAACGUACCUGACGCUGAGACACGAAAGCGUGGGGAGCAAACAGG